AUUGAACGCUGGCGGCAGGCCUAACACAUGCAAGUCGAGCGAGCGGCGGACGGGUGAGUAAUGUCUGGGAAACUGCCCGAUAGAGGGGGAUAACUACUGGAAACGGUAGCUAAUACCGCAUACUAUCAGCUGUGCCCAGAUGGGAUUAGCUAGUAGGUGGGGUAAUGGCUCACCUAGGCGACGAUCCCUAGCUGGUCUGAGAGGGUGAUCAGCCACACUGGGACUGAGACACGGCCCAGACUCCUACGGGAGGCAGCAGUGGGGAAUAUUGCACAAUGGGCGCAAGCCUGAUGCAGCCAUGCCGCGUGUAUGAAGAAGGCCUUAGGGUUGUAAAGUACUUUCAGCGGGGAGGCGUUACCCGCAGAAGAAGCACCGGCUAACUCCGUGCCAGCAGCCGCGGUAAUAC
rnacentral:rRNA from 1 species